AGUUUCACAAAGAAACCGUCAGCCAGUAAGGUACCAAAUGCCAAACCCUCUGUCUACUGAUAUUGAAGUAUAUGGAAUGCAAGGAAUCCCAAGUGAUGUCUUAGCAGCUCACUAUGGAGAGGAAGGUACGGGCCUGCAUUCAAUUUUCUGUUUGGUUUUGUGGAUUUUUCAAACUUUGGUUUGAAAAAGUGUAAACCAAUCUGAACCAAAAUAAAUUUGGUUUGACUUUUCUCUUUUCGGGUAGGCUUUUUCGGUUCCGUUAUGUCAAUAAUUAGUAAUAUAAUCAAAGUUAUAUAUGCAAUUAAAAAAAUACAAUACAAGGAGAAGUAAUAAUAUUGAAUUUCUUAAUGUACUUUCUAAUAUAAAUCGCAAGUAAAACUUAAAACAUAAUACUUAAAAAGUAUACAUAUUAUUGAUGUACAAACAUAAAAUAUAAACUAAAUCAUAAUAAGAAGGCAAUAAUUAAAAAGGGAUAAAAGUCGUUAAGUCUAACUUAUU